AUCACUUCUCAGACUUUUGGCUAAGAUCAAGUGUAGUAUCUGUUCUCAUCAGUUUAAGAUCUGAUAUGCCCUCUAUAUAAGAACUCUAUAUUAAACAGAUUUUUAGAGAUGGAAGCCAGAAAAGGGGCUUGCUCCAUUCGCUCCAUGCAUCGACCCGGUAUUGUGGUACUUCCAGGCUUGGUGCACUGUUU